GUGUGUGUGUGUGAAAGGCUUAGAAAAGACAGACAUGAGAAGGAAAGCUGGGUCUCGAUGGGACACUGCCUCUCUGAUGGAGGGACAGCGCCACGGAAGUACAAGCCAUGUCUUUAUUUCAUAGCAGAUGC